UUUUAGCGAAGUUGGUAGUUUAGUACAAUUCACAUAGGAGAUGUAGAAGCAACUUUAACACCUUAAAGUUAAGCCUUAAGUUUAUUUUAUACAAAAUUGAUCCAGUAAUAUGCUACAACUGUAUACAAGAGAGUCCACAAAGAGAACACGAACAGAUAUGCUACAUUUGGCAGAAGCACUUUUUGAGGCACUAGGUACAGUCAGUCAAGUUAUUGCCAUCACUUAAGACGUCCACUGCUGAUAGAUAAUUGCUAUGCAGGUCUCACCAUGUAGCGGCUCCAGAAACUGCGAUUUCUUUCCUCGAGUGGCGCGCGUGCAACAACGCUACCGUCUACGCCCAUACAGCAGACGACUGACUCCCCUAAUCAGUCGCCCGCUACUGUCUCUGUACUAAAUAAAUCUUU